GGAAAGAAGCAGAGGUAGCCAUGGAAACAACUGUUGAGGGCCUACAUCUUAGGAGUCUAAAUGUACAUGGAACUCAAGAGCUUGAUUCUACUCUACCUUUAAGCUGGAAUGGAGAUGAUUCCCAAAAAACCUUAGAAGGCAUUACUGAAGAUAGAAAAACCUCCCAGAGCCUGAUUUCUGAAUGAUUGUCCAUUUGGCAUAGUCACCAGGUGUGGAUGAAACGAGGCUUCACCCCUGAGUCUGCAACCUUAGACAA